rnacentral:rRNA from 1 species
UACGUAGGGGGCGAGCGUUGUCCGGAUUUAUUGGGCGUAAAGAGCUCGUAGGCGGUUUGGUAAGUCGGGUGUGAAAUCUCCACGCUCAACGUGGAGGGGCCACUCGAUACUGCCAUGACUCGAGUCCGGUAGAGGAGUGUGGAAUUCCCGGUGUAGCGGUGAAAUGCGCAGAUAUCGGGAGGAACACCCGUAGCGAAGGCGGCACUCUGGGCCGGAACUGACGCUGAGGCGCGUAAGCGUGGGGAGCGAUCCGG